GACAGCUUGGCCGAGUGGUUAAGGCGAUAGACUAGAAAUCUAUGGGGGUAACCCGCGUGAGUUCAAAUCUCACAGCUGUCG
rnacentral:tRNA from 1 species